UGUUCUACCCAGAAGAGUGGCUCAAGUUCACAUUCAGAAUUUAUUUGUUGAAAGAGUAUCUCCACUUUAUCACAAUCGAGCACUUCCAAUUCUUUCAGAAGUGGCCAGCUUGAACUAAACCUUCUAGAGCAAAAUCUUUUGAGUUGGUGUAAACCGGAGAGUGUGAGAGAGGUAAGGUUAGGGAAUGAGAGUAAAGGUGCUGCUUCAUCUUCAUUUUCAUUGGCAACAAUUGCCUCCACUCCACUCUCCGAUAUAUAAAGGUCCUCAAGUUGCACAAGAGCACUCGCCACAGAAACCGGAAAAAGGUUUAGCAAUUUGUUGCAUCCCCUUACUUGCAAUUUCCUUAAUUUGGAAAAUGAAUUUGCUGGAAGUUGGUCAGGCCACAAUGCUCUUAUAUUAUCUAGUCCGCGUACAGACAAGGACUCCAAACCUGGGAGUGCAACCUGUGCAAUUGAUGAUCCCUUUAGUUAAUAAUAUAUACAUAUACAUUCCUAAUAAUUAGACACAUGUAAAUAGAAAAUAAGAGGUUAAAGGAGAAUAUAUCAGUAUAACAAAGCACAAAAUUUAAACUCUAUUCAAGAAGAUCCAGAAAGAGAAAAGAAAACGCCUUUUGAUUUUGAAGAUCCAAUGAAACUUUAAAAAAAAAAAAAAAAACCUCCAAAUUUUGCUUUCCAAAUGAGGUAAUAGGAGGAUAUUUUUAUUUUAUUUUUUCUUUGCCUCUCUUUCAAAUUUGAUUAACUUCCAUGGAAAACGUAUUUUAACUAGCCAUGGAAAAUGGAUUUUUUUUUUAAAACUUUUAUAUAAGAUACAAGAACUCUUAGAGGGUUACAUUAUGUAAGUAAUACUUUAAAAAAAAUGUUUAAAAAUAUUGUGAUAUCCAAAAAUUUUACUACCUCGGAUUUUAAAUUUUAAAAAAAUUAUUUUUAAAGAAAUAAGGUAAAUCUAUACUUUUUCGUAUAAGAUAUUCUACCUUUAUAUACAAAUUUCUGAUUUUUUUUUUAAAGUGUAUCCAAAUGGACACUAAACUAUCUAGUUUCGAAUUUUUACAACUUUGAAUUGGAUUUUAUGGUAAACUAAUUGACAAUAUAACGCAUGGAUUCAUCUUAGAUUCCAUCUAUAAAUUUUUUAAUUAUCUAAUAUAAGACAUUAUAUUAAUGGGUUGAAUUAAUAAUGUAAUUAUAAUUUAUUUGGCAACUUUCUUCCUUCAAAUAUAUAAGACGAAAAUAUAUUUUAAAAAAUAAAAAAGAAUGAUAAAAAAUAGAAAAUAAAAAUAGCUUAUUUUAUUGUUUUUCUAAGAUGAUUUUGUAGAGUGUUAGUUUAUAGUUUAACUUUAUUUCAUUUUACUUUUAACAUUAUUUAUUGAGGUAUGUUCUUUUUUGAAACUCUUGUUUAGAUUUUAUAGAGAAUAUAAAUUUUAAGAAAAAAAAUGAAAUUUAAAUAAAAUAAGAAUAAAGAAAGGCAAAAGGUGGAUGAAUUUUUUGAAGGCAAAAGUUUGAUAAUUUGGCACUGUCAUGUAAUGGGUGAAAUUUUUAAAUACUCAACAAAGGCUAGUGAAAUUUAAAUUAAAACCUUGACAUGUACCUUUUCGACCAAAAUCUUUGGAGUUGGUGUAAAGUUUUGAGUAUGAGAGAGGUUAGUCUAGGGAAUAUUAUUGCACAUUAGUUCAAAUAAAACAUCAACAUUUUUUUUUGUUAAAUUCUAAAUGAACACCACUAUAAAUUAAUGCGAUUUUGUAUGCUCAAUUAAAUAAACUCGUUCUUAAGGCAUCACAUGAAGUGUUUAAGUCUAAUUAAUAUUAAUUAAAAAUGAUUAUAUCAAAAAAAAUCCAAAGUAAUUUUUUUUUAUCAUAAGUCAAGUAGGAUAGUUUUAUAAAUAAUUGGUUCUAGUUUCUAGUAUUAUUGUACACAAUCGCUAUGUUUGUUGCACCUCCAAAAAAUCUACUACUUGUAAUUAAUUGUAUAUUAUUCUCCAUAUUCACAUCAGUUUAUGUAGUAUGAUUAAUUUAGCAACAAAAUAUAAGUUUACUUGAAAUCGCUUUAAAUUCCUAUGAUAUUAAAGUUUAAGAUUAAAACAAUGUAACAUUAGCCAAAAAGACUAAGAUCUAUAAUGUAACAAAUAAAAUUUAGAAAAUUCAAGGCAGGGUAAACUCGCACCUGUUCUACCCAGAAGAGUGGCUCAAGUUCACAUUCAGAAUUUAUUUGUUGAAAGAGUAUCUCCACUUUAUCACAAUCGAGCACUUCCAAUUCUUUCAGAAGUAGCCAGCUUGAACUAAACCUUCUAGAGCAAAAUCUUUUGAGUUGGUGUAAACCGGAGAGUGUGAGAGAGGUAAGGUUAGGGAAUAAGAGUAAAGGUGCUGCUUCAUCUUCAUUUUCAUUGGCAACAAUUGCCUCCACUCCACUCUCCGAUAUAUAUAGGUCCUCAAGUUGCACAAGAGCACUCGCCACAGAAACCCGAAAAAGGUUUAGCAAUUUGUUGAAUCCCCUUACAUGCAAUUUCCUUAAUUUGGAAAAUGAAUUUGUUGGAAGUUGGUCAGGCCACAAUGCUCUUAUAUUAUCCAGUCCGCAUACAUACAAGGACUCCAAGCCUUGGAGUGCAACCUGUGCAAUUGAUAAUCCCUUUGGUUAAUAAUAUAUACAUAUACAUUCCUAAUGAUUAGACACAUGUAAAUAGAAAAUAAGAGGUUAAAGGAGAAUAUAUCAGUAUAACAAAGCACAAAAUUUAAACUAGAUUAAAGAAGAUCAAGAAAGAGAAAAGAAAAGAAAAAGCCUCCAGAUUUUGAAGAUACAAUGAAACUUAAAAAAAAAAAAAAAAAACCUCCAAAUUUUCCUUUCGAAAUGAGGUAAUAAGAGGAUUUUUUUUUUCUUUUUUCUUUGCCUCUCUUUCAAAUUUGAUUAACUUCUAUGGAAAACGUAUUUUAACUAGUUAUGGAAAACGGAUUUUUUUUUUUAAAAACUUUUAUAUAAGAUACAAGUAAUACUUUAAAAAAAUUGUGAUAUCUAAAAAAUUUUUUGAAAAAUUAUUUUUAAAGAAAUAAGGUAAAUCUAUACUUUUUGUAUAAGAUGUUCUACCUUUGUAUUCAAAUUUCUGAUUUUUUUUUUUUAAAGUGUAUCCAAAUGCACACUAAACUAUCUAGUUUUUAAUUGUUACAACUUUGAAUUGGAUUUUAUGGUAAACUAAUUUACAAGUUAAUGCAUAGAUUCAUCUUAGAUUCCAUCUAUAAAUUUUUUUAAUUAUCUAAUAUAAGACAGUAUAUUAAUGGGUUGAAUUAAUAAUGUAAUUAUAAUUUAUUUGGCAACUUUCUUCCUUCAAAUAUAUAAAAUGAAAAUAAAUUUUAAAAAAUAAAAAAUAAAAAAAAGAUUUUUUUUAUAGUUUUUCUAAGAUGAUUUUGUAGAGUUCUGUUAGUUUAUAGUUUUCACUUUAUUUAUUGAGGUAUGUUCUUUUUUGAAACUCUUGUUUAGAUUUUAUUGAGAAUAUAAAUUUUAAGAAAAAAAAUAAAAUUUAAAUAAAAUAAGAAUAAAGAAAGGCAAAAGCUGGAUGAAUUUUUUUAAGGCAAAAGUUUGAUAAUUUGGCACUCUCAUGUAAUGGGUGAAAUUUUUAAAUACUCAACAAAGGCUAGUGAAAUUUAAAUUAAAACCAUGACAUGUACCUUUUAGACCAAAAUCUUUGGAGUUGGUGUAAUGUUUUGAGUAUGAGAGAGGUUAGUCUAGGGAAUAUUAUUGCACAUUAGUUCAAAUAAAACAUCAACAUUUUUUUUUGUUAAAUUCUAAAUGAACACCACUAUAAAUUAAUGCGAUUUUGUAUGCUCAAUUAAAUAAACUCGUUCUUAAGGCAUCACAUGAAGUGUUUAAGUCUAAUUAAUAUUAAUUAAAAAUGAUUAUAGUAAAAAAAAUCCAAAGUAAUUUUUUUUUAUCAUAAGUCAAGUAGGAUAGUUUUAUAAAUAAUUGGUUCUAGUUUCUAGUAUUAUUGUAGACAAUCGCUAUGUUUGUUGCACCUCCAAAAAAUCUACUACUUGUAAUUAAUUGUAUAUUAUUCUCCAUAUUCACAUCAGUUUAUGUAGUAUGAUUAAUUUAGCAACAAAAUAUAAGUUUACUUGAAAUGGCUUUAAAUUCCUAUGAUAUUAAAGUUUAAGAUUAAAACAAUGUAACAUUAGCAAAAAAGAUUAAGAUCUAUAAUGUAACAAAUAAAAUUUAGAAAAUUCAAGGCAGGGUAAACUCGCACCUGUUCUACCCAGAAGAGUGGCUCAAGUUCACAUUCAGAAUUUAUUUGUUGAAAGAGUAUCUCCACUUUAUCACAAUCGAGCACUUCCAAUUCUUUCAGAAGUAGCCAGCUUGAACUAAACCUUCUAGAGCAAAAUCUUUUGAGUUGGUGUAAACCGGAGAGUGUGAGAGAGGUAAGGUUAGGGAAUAAGAGUAAAGGUGCUGCUUCAUCUUCAUUUUCAUUGGCAACAAUUGCCUCCACUCCACUCUCUGAUAUAUAUAGGUCCUCAAGUUGCACAAGAGCACUCGCCACAGAAACCCGAAAAAGGUUUAGCAAUUUGUUGAAUCCCCUUACAUGCAAUUUCCUUAAUUUGGAAAAUGAAUUUGUUGGAAGUUGGUCAGGCCACAAUGCUCUUAUAUUAUCCAGUCCGCAUACAUACAAGGACUCCAAGCCUGGGAGUGCAACCUGUGCAAUUGAUAAUCCCUUUGGUUAAUAAUAUAUACAUAUACAUUCCUAAUAAUUAGACACAUGUAAAUAGAAAAUAAGAGGUUAAAGG
rnacentral:lncRNA from 1 species